rnacentral:rRNA from 1 species
GACGAACGCUGGCGGCGUGCUUAACACAUGCAAGUCGAACGGAAAGGCCCUGCUUUUGUGGGGUGCUCGAGUGGCGAACGGGUGAGUAACACGUGAGUAACCUGCCCUUGACUUUGGGAUAACUUCAGGAAACUGGGGCUAAUACCGGAUAGGAGCUCCUGCUGCAUGGUGGGGGUUGGAAAGUUUCGGCGGUUGGGGAUGGACUCGCGGCUGAUCAGCUUGUUGGUGGGGUAGUGGCUUACCAAGGCUUUGACGGGUAGCCGGCCUGAGAGGGUGACCGGCCACCUUGGGACUGCGAUACGGCCCAGACUCCUACGGGAGGCAGCAGUGGGGAAUAUUGCACAAUGGGCGGAAGCCUGAUGCAGCAACGCCGCGUGCGGGAUGACGGCCUUCGGGUUGUAGACCGCUUUCGCCUGUGACGAAGCGUGAGUGACGGUAAUGGGUAAAGAAGCACCGGCUAACUACGUG